AUGCCUGCAGCACUUAAAAAGCUGCCUCAACCUACCUGGCCCGAGAGCUCCGUUCCUCCCGGCCGCCGUCGGGCUUCUCAGCAGCCUCCCUCGCGCGCACCGCCAGCCGGGGCCGCUCGCACCCCGGGGAAGAACGGCUGUUCCAUGCCCUCCGUCUUCCUCCCUGCUCUGCGGCUGACAGCUUUGCGCUCUGCAGGAUUGCAACAGGGCUCGGGCUCCCAGACCGAUCGGGCCGGAGAGGGAGGAGGCGUCCCUCGAACCGCCUCCUGCCUCGGGGCGCAGCUGCGCUGCUGGGGGAACCUCGCAGAGCUCGGGGCGCAGCACCGCCGCCAGCAGCAGCAGCGACGGGAGCCCAUGGCCCUGCCCUGAUACACAACAGGAACCCACUCAGUGUUGUUAAGUGUUAUUAAUCUUGGAAGGAGAAAGAAGAGGAAAAAAAGAAAAAAUUCCAUAAAGAGAACCCCCAGAAACACCACUAUUUAUAAGGUAGGUAAAAGAAGAGUCCUCACAUAAACCAAAGAAGGAACUGCUUCUUUUAGACUACAAAAGUAGAUGUAACAUGUGAUAUCUCAGACUGAGAAGUAAAAUCCAGUCACUGCAGCCUACAAAAAUACUUUUUAUCUUUCUGAGCAAUGAUAAACAUAACACUAUAAAUUGUUCACCAGAGUUUGCAGUCAUGCCGACCUUCACCACAAUAGAGAAUUUCCUAAUCUGAAUUACAGACUUUCCUAUGUUGUUGUUUUUCGGUUGCUAGGUCAUGUCUGACUCUUUGUGACCCCAGGCGAACAAAAUCUUGACAUUAAGGGUAAGUAAUCCAAACUGUAGGAAUUGUAUUAACUUGUAACAUACCUAAAGUCAUGUAAAAGCAAGACCAAAAUAAAUCUAAAGCAUACUUAGCCAAAAAAACAAAUAUAGAAAUAUAUAUAUUAGAUUACUAGAUAUGUAUAAGAUACUUGUAUAAUAUAAAACAUAUUAUAUAAUAUGUAAUAUGUAACAUUAUAUAUAUACACACACACACACACAUAAAACACACACUCUAGUCCUACAUAAUAAGGAAAUCAACAAAUGGAUUUUCUUUUUAAAAAUCCAUUAAAGAAAAAUUAGAUUCAUUCUGAUGCUACUGAAAUUACUCUUCUCACCUACUUUACUGUUAGUAACACCCACCUUAGUCUUAACAUCCUGAUUACAUGGUGCAUUAAAGCUUUUUUUUAAUUUAUUUUUUAUUGAAGGAUAAUUGCUUUACAGAAUUUUGUUGUUUUCUGUCAAACCUCAACAUGAAUCAGCCAUAGGUAUACAUAUAUCCCCUCCCUUUUGAAUCUCCCUCCCAUCUCCCACCCCAUCCCACCCCUCUAGAUUGAUAAAGAGCCCCGUUUGAGUUUCCUGAACCAUACAGCAAAGUCCCAUUGGCUACCGAUUUUACAUAUAGUAAUAUAAAUUUUCACAUCACUCUUUCCAUACAUCUCACCCUCUCCUCUCUUCUCCCCAUGUCCUUAAGUCUAUCCUCUAUGUCUGUUUCUCCACUGUGGCCCUGUAAAUAAAUUCUUCAGUACCAUUUUUCUAGAUUCUGUAUAUAUGUAUUAGAAUACAAUAUUUAUCUUUCUCUUUCUGACUCACUUCACUCUGUAUAAUAGGUUCUAGGUUCAUCCACCUCAUCAGAACUGACUCAAAGGUGUUCCUUUUUAUGGCUGAGUAAUAUUCCAUUGUGUAUAUGUAUCACAACUUCUUUAUUCAUUCAUCUGUCGAUGGACAUUUAGGUUGCUUCCAUGUUCUAGCUAUUAUAAAUAGUGCUGCAAUGAACAAUGGGAUACAUGUCUUUUUCAAUUUUGGUUUCCUCAGGGUAUAUGCCUAGAUUAAAAAAAUAUGAAAAGAAAACUAUGCCAGAAAUUCGUUCAGGGUGACAUGGUGGUCAAACUAUUGAUACAUGGAAAGUCAAAAUAUGACCCAGAAAUGAUUACCCAGUUAUGUCUGCCUUGAUAACAAAAGUUUUUGAAAAGUUGGAGACAUGUCAUUUUGGUUCUAUUUCAUACAUAAAAAAGCAUCUCAAAAUCAGUUGGGCCACAAUAAGAAAAACCUGACUAGAAUGACCAUCAUCAAAAAGUAUACAAACAGUAAAUGCUGGAGAGGGUGUGGAGAAAAGGGAACCCUCCUACACUGUUAGUAGGAAUGUAAACUGGUACAGCCACUAUGGAGAACAGUGUGGAAGUACCUUAGAAACUAAAAACAGAACUACCGUAUCAUCCAGCAAUCCCACUCCUAGGCAUAUAUCCAGAGAUAAUCACAAUUCAAAAAGAUAUAUAUAUACCCCUCACUGCAACACUAUUUACAAUAGCAAAGACACAGAAGCAGCCUAAAUGUUCAUGGACAGAUGAAUGGAUAAAGAGGAUGUGGUACAUGUAUACAGUGGAAUAUUACUCAAUGAUAAAAAAGAAUGAAAUCAAGCCAUUUGUAGCCAACAUGGAUGGACCUAGAGAUUAUCAUACUAAAGUCAGACAGACAAAGACAAAUAUCAUAUGAAAUCAUUUAUAUGUGGUGGAAUCUAAAAAUGUCAUACAAGUGAAUUUUGUAUGAUAUAAAUCUCCUAUGUACAAAGGAGAAAUAGACUCACAGAUUUAGAGAACAAACUUAUGGUUACUGGGGCAAAGGAGCAGGGGAAAGGAUAUUAGGGACUUUGGGACAGAUAUGUACACACUGCUAUAUUUAAAAUGGAUAACCAACAAGAACCUACUGUAUAGCACAGGGAACUCUGCUCAAAGUUAUAUGGCAGCCUGGAUGGGAGGGGAAUCUGGGGGAGAAUGGAUACGUGUAUAUGUAUGACUGAGUUGCUUUGCUACGCACCUGAAACUAUCACAUUAUUAAUCGGCUAUACUCCAAUAUAAAAUUUAAAUUUUAUAAGUAAUAAUAAAUUGAAAAAAAUAAACAAAUUUACUACCUAAUUUUUCAUUAAACUUUGCAUUCCCUUAGCUCAUUUUCUGCCAAAGGGGAUUAUCCCACAAUAAAUGUUAAAGUUUUCAACAAUAAAAUAAAUAGCUAUAGAUUUGCACCCUACAAAAGUGACCAAACUACUGAAUCAGGAGCAGUCAGGCUUUCUACACUUGCCACCCACCUCACCAGUGGUCAGCCUGGCAGCUUCAUGAUUUUCAUAGGCCACAGUGGGGGUCUUGGCACAGGUGGUCUACUAAGGAGGUAACAGGGUGAGCAGCACCAAGUUAUCCUCCCACUCCCUGAAGACUGGACUGAGUUAGUUCUUCUCAGCCACCAACGCUGGAAUGUAUUUCAUUUUCUCAGUGAGUGCUUUGAACACUGUUCUCCAGAGGGAAGCAUAAGUUAACUUGGAUUUGGAGAGAAUUGGUGGGGAAGACAGGGUUACAUGUGCCAUCUUUCACAUUUAAACAUGUGUUAAAGUACAAACACUCU
ensembl:lncRNA